rnacentral:lncRNA from 1 species
CUUCCGGAGGCGAGGGGUGCUUUGAGUCUUCGUCUGGUUCUUUCUUUUUUUCCUAUUCUUCCAGAUCAUUCUUUCUUUUCCCACGACUCCGGGUUGGUUUUGCAGUAGAAUGAGCUGCAGACUCCCAGUGUUAUUUCAACCUUAAGUUCCAUCGACUUAAGCGUAAGCGCCCCACCUUUUGAGAGUGCGAGAGAUUUCCGCGGCCUGUAAACACAUGGUUUUUCCAGCCGUGACCCUAAUUUACUUACUGAUUUGAAAACCUAUACCUCCGGCCGCCCUAC